rnacentral:rRNA from 1 species
UACGUAGGGUCCGAGCGUUGUCCGGAGUGACUGGGCGUAAAGCGCGCGCAGGCGGCCUGUUAGGCACGACGUGAAAGCCCCGGGCUCAACCCGGGAGGGUCGUCGUGAACCGGCGGGCUUGAGGCCGGUAGAGGUGGGUGGAACUCCUGGUGGAGUGGUGAAAUGCGUAGAGAUCAGGAAGAACACCCGUGGCGAAGGCGGCCCACUGGGCCGGAACUGACGCUGAGGCGCGAAGGCGUGGGGAGCGAACGGGAUUAGAUACCCCGGUAGUCCACGCAGUAAACGAUGUCGACUCGGUGUGGGCGGUCUUGACCCCGUCCGCGCCACAGCUAACGCGAGAAGUCGACCGCCUGGGGAGUACGGCCGCAAGGCUAAA